GAGCAGAGCCUGAGCAACCACUGUAGAAUACUAAAGGCAAUGGUGACACUCUUCAUGGCAGCUGAUAUGUGAUGGUGUCAGAUGACUUAGAUUCCAGUGGCAACAGAAUGGUUCAGGAAUUUAUGCCAAAGAGGAAGCAGACAGACUGAAAGAACCGGUGGUGAUGGCCGACUCCGAGAAAACCACAUCAGAGCUCCAACAACCAAGGUGUUUCCAGCAAUUCGCAGCAGAAGAAAGAAAAACCAAACAGAUUCACCAUGCAGCAAUUCCACCUUAAGACACCGCCCCCACCUAGUACUUCUUGUAAAUCUAGGAAAUCAGAAAGUUGAAAAGUAUAACACAUUGUGUUGCUUGUAGCUUGUAUGCACAUCAUGCAAUUGCAAUAUAUUUAGACAUCCAGACGGCUUUAAAUGAAGAGAUCUAAGCUUCAAGGACACUGGAUGACUGCUAUAUCUGUAACUAACUGGUAAGUGUCAGAACUAGGUCAAAAAUGGUUUUAACCACCCACUUACUCCAUUCACUAAGUGCAGAGGCAAGGCCCACUAACUGUGUCUUAGGCACCACAUUCCACUGUCUCUCCGAACAAGGGCAGUAAAUACGAUUCAACUCUUGAGCUCUCUCGGGAUUAGCCACCUUAAAAAGUACUCUGAAGUAGAAAAGAGUCAAUGACCAUCAGCAAUGUGAAGCUUUGAACUAGGAGAGAGAAGUGGAAGAAGUCCUGAAGUCCUUAUUAUCCCUGAUUUAAAACAUCAAAUAUCCACAAGAGAAAGAAGGUGAAAUACAAAAAUUGAAAUCCUGAGCUAGAGCAUGCUACCUUUCACCUUAAGUCCCAAA